AUAAUUUAUCACGUCCGCAAAUGAUUUUUGGACUGUAGUUUGGAUUGUUCUGCCGAGCGUAUAACAACGCAUGCUAUCUAUCAAAGCUUCGACUCAUUUGUUUUGCUGCUCCGGAAUAUUGAGACGAGAAGAAUGGCCUUGAUGCUGGAGGUACAAAGAGGCACAAAUAAACUUUCACUCAUUACACUAGCACUGUUUUACCAUUGACGGAGCAUUGUGAAUAUGUUAACAGACUACUUGGGUGUUCUGAUAUCGAAAUAUGUACAUAAUAUAAGUAUAUACCAUGACAUGCACUGCUGCUUCUAAUUAGAUACAAUAGCUUCUCUCUUUUUUAUUGUACAGCUGAGAUCUUCAUUACAUUACAACCUUAUGUUUUGCUUAUUUGUUUACUGAAAUUGGUGCUCUGUCUCUAGGUUAAUGGAUCACCCUGGGAACGAUUUUGAGGGCAUUAUGCCAGCUACUUUGAUGGCAAUGGAUUAUGGAAUGGCAAACUAACAGGGCACAUCGCACAACUGGUAUAAAUGUGUUGAUAUGUUGCAUUUCAAGGCAGUUUCACUCAU
rnacentral:lncRNA from 1 species